rnacentral:rRNA from 1 species
UGUAGGGUGCGUAGGCGGCAGUGCAAGUCAGGUGUGAAAACUAUGGGCUUAACCCAUAGAUUGCACUUGAAACUGUGUUGCUUGAGUGAAGUAGAGGCAAGCGGAAUUCCCGGUGUAGCGGUGAAAUGCGUAGAGAUCGGGAGGAACACCAGUGGCGAAGGCGGCUUGCUGGGCUUUAACUGACGCUGAGGCACGAAAGCGUGGGUAGCAAACAGGAUUAGAUACCCUGGUAGUCCAUGCUGUAAACGAUGAUUACUAGGUGUGGGUGGACUGACCCCAUCCGUGCCGGAGUUAACACAAUAAGUAAUCCACCUGGGAAGUACGACCGCAAGGUUGAAACUCAAAGGAAUUGACGGGGGCCCGCACAAGCAGUGGAGUAUGUGGUUUAAUUCGAAGCAACGCGAAGGACCUUACCAGGUCUUGACAUCCAACUAAUCCUGUAGAAAUACAGGAGUGCCCUUCGGGGAAAGUUGAGACAGGUGGUGCAUGGUUGUCGUCAGCUCGUGUCGUGAGAUGUUGGGUUAAGUCCCGCAACGAGCGCAACCCUUGUGAUUAGUUGCUACGUAAGAGCACUCUAAUCAGACCGCCGUUGACAAAACGGAGGAAAGGUGGGGAUGACGUCAAAUCAUCAUGCCCUUUUAUGAUCUGGGCUACACACGUACUACAAUGGCCAUCAACAGAGGGAAGCAAAACCGCGAGGCAGAGCAAACCCCUAAAAAUGGUCUCAGUUCGGAUCGCAGCUGA